UGCGUAGGUGGUAUGGCAAGUCAGAAGUGAAAACCCAGGGCUUAACUCUGGGACUGCUUUUGAAACUGUCAGACUGGAGUGCAGGGGAGGUAAGCGGAAUUCCUAGUGUAGCGGUGAAAUGCGUAGAUAUUAGGAGGAACAUCAGUGGCGAAGGCGGCUUACUGGACUGAAACUGACACUGAGGCACGAAAGCGUGGGGAGCAAACA
rnacentral:rRNA from 1 species